GGGUUGUGAGGUUAAGCGACUAAGCGUACACGGUGGAUGCCCUGGCAGUCAGAGGCGAUGAAGGACGUGCUAAUCUGCGAUAAGCGUCGGUAAGGUGAUAUGAACCGUUAUAACCGGCGAUUUCCGAAUGGGGAAACCCAGUGUGAUUCGUCACACUAUCAUUAACUGAAUCCAUAGGUUAAUGAGGCGAACCGGGGGAACUGAAACAUCUAAGUACCCCGAGGAAAAGAAAUCAACCGAGAUUCCCCCAGUAGCGGCGAGCGAACGGGGAGCAGCCCAGAGCCUGAAUCAGUGUGUGUGUUAGUGGAAGCGUCUGGAAAGGCGUGCGAUACAGGGUGACAGCCCCGUACACAAAAAUGCACAUACUGUGAGCUCGAUGAGUAGGGCGGGACACGUGGUAUCCUGUCUGAAUAUGGGGGGACCAUCCUCCAAGGCUAAAUACUCCUGACUGACCGAUAGUGAACCAGUACCGUGAGGGAAAGGCGAAAAGAACCCCGGCGAGGGGAGUGAAAAAGAACCUGAAACCGUGUACGUACAAGCAGUGGGAGCACGCUUAGGCGUGUGACUGCGUACCUUUUGUAUAAUGGGUCAGCGACUUAUAUUCUGUAGCAAGGUUAACCGAAUAGGGGAGCCGAAGGGAAACCGAGUCUUAACUGGGCGUUAAGUUGCAGGGUAUAGACCCGAAA
rnacentral:rRNA from 1 species